rnacentral:rRNA from 2 species
GCCGUGUGAGUGAUGAAGGCCUUCGGGUCGUAAAAUUCUGUCCCAUGGGAAGAAAAAACUGACGGUACCAUAGGAGGAACCCCCGGCUAACUACGUGCCAGCAGCCGCGGUAAUACGUAGGGGGCAAGCGUUAUCCGGAAUCACUGGGCGUAAAGGGUGCGUAGGUGGCUGAUCAAGCCAGGGGUGAAAGGCAUUGGCUCAACCAAUGUAAGCCUUUGGAACUGAUCGGCUUGAGUGCAGGAGAGGUAAGUGGAAUUCCUAGUGUAGAGGUGAAAUUCGUAGAUAUUAGGAGGAACACCAGUGGCGAAGGCGACUUACUGGACUGUAACUGACACUGAGGCCACAAAGCGUGGGGAGCAAACAGGAUUAGAUACCCUGGUAGUC